AAAAGCAAGGCUCCCUGUGUUUAGACACCUGACGUGCUUGGGAAGCCACUGCGCCUGACCCGCCAGCACAGUUGUGGGGAAGGCAAGGCUCACGUGUCCUGCAGGCUCGCAAAGGGCGCGCACGCUUUGCCCUGUCCCAGCUGUGUGUCAGAUGGUGGUUGGGAAAGGACCAUGUGUGCAAGGCACACGUGCAAAGGUACAAAGACUAAACCACAAGACGGCGAUCUGCCAGCAAGAGUCACAGAACUGUGGGGCGCGCGGCUGGUCCUGCGGCUGCACCAGCCUGAAGCCCGGCUUGCGCACAGGGUUCAUGCAGCUGAGGCACCAGCUGCAAGGCGCCUGCAGGGAUGUGGCAGAGCUGAGGCUGCUGCACGUCUCUCCUUGGAGCAAGCGUGGCACCCUCACGGGGGGGACCCGGGGCUCUCCGUUCCACCUCUCUGCUCUCUCAACACAAACCUCUUGGAAAAUGAGUGAAAUCACAUAGGCGUUGAAAUCUUACCGUCUCCAAGUUUUAUAUUUAAUAGAGAAGACAGUCCAAUGUUGAGCAUCCACAUUUACAGCUGGUUGUGGUGUUCUAGAACCCCAGCCUGGUCUAACCCUGAAAACCCAGAGCUGGGUCUCUGUCCCCUACCAGAGGCCUAUGGUCACGGCAGUCCUGGGAGCAUCAGGCCGGUAAGGUCCAUGGGGGGGGGGGACCCACGGUGGUGUGAAGGCGGCCAUGUGGGGGGACCCACGGCAGUGUGUAGGCAGCCAUGCCAUUUGUCCGGUGACCACAGUGGGUGUUUUGUGGGUGCUGUGCCUAGAGGAGCCGCGGGGAGUCGAGGGCUGGGAUGGCCCGCAAUUGUGGGACCAGACGGGCACGUACAGGGCAGCCGGGCCGGUACUCACUUCCUCAGAAUGUCUGAAGAGUCCUGGCAAAACCCCACUGGCUCGACAGAAGAAGAAAGGCCUGCCAAUUCGGCACACGUCACUCAUGUGUAAAUUAUGUUUAAAAGCACAACAUCAGAAGGAGAGAGACAGACUCUGUAAAUCGCUGUCUGGUCGACACAGAGCUAAUGCGCUCCCUGGAUGUGAGUGAUUCAGCCAAAUGCGGUGCUUGGCACUUACGGAGUCGAGAACUGAUACGGGGUGGCCUGCUAUCAGUUGGCGUGCAGAUGCACGUUCUCCUCCUCCUCGCCCUCUGUGACGUGUGCUCGCGGUCCCUGGAGGGACAGCAGGGCAGGCACAGAGGGGAGGGCGCAGGACGGCACACUCGGCGGGUGUGAACUCUCAGGAAGCGGCUUCUUGCCCGUCUCACGGAGCUCUGGGAGGAUGGAGGUCAGCCCUCCGAGAGCUCCCGUGUCGUAGGAGGAAGGCGGAUUGGAGGCAACACAGAGUUCCAAAGGAGCAGUGGGGACCACUCUGCUUAGUCGACCAACCACUCACUGUUUAGUAGGUACCAGUCGGACAGAGAAGAAAACACCAUUUCCAGGCUGCUUGGGUCCCCCUACAAGGAGGCCUCCGCAGACCCACGCCUGAUCGCCAUCGGGAUAUGACCGGACCCGUGGGAGCAGCCAGGAGGCUUGGAGGGUGGGCGAGAGAGGUGCAUCCAUACAGGCCCUGAGCAGGGAGCACCGAGGGGUCCCCGAUGCAUCUCAGGGGACCCUCUCAGGAAAGCCAUAAAGCUGACCUGUGAGUAGCAGUCACCAAAUACAACACUUGCCCGCAUCACAUUGCCUAAGACAGGAGUGUAACUGUGGGUCAAGGAUGGGAAAGGAAAUGGGAGGUGACAGAUGGGAAAGACACGGGAGGCGGUGAACAGCGGCAGGGACAGCACGCAGACACACAGCCGGAAGAGCACGGUGGUGCCGGACAGGUGGGCACGUGAGGUCCCGUAGGGCCUCUCCGGGGACAGCCUGUGGUCGCGGGUACUCCCAAAGGCUCGUUAUGGGAUCCGACUCCGAGCAAGAACGUCUUCGAGAACGUCCUCCUCUCCCUGGCCGGUCACAGGAGACCCCGGGCUCAGACUCGUGCUCCUCCUGAGAGCCCCAGGCCUCCGAGUGCCCAUCACGCCAGCUGGCCGAGAACUUCCCGGCAGCGUCUUCCAGCCUCCAGGCUCUUCCUGCUUCUCUGAGAGAGCCCGGGUGGCAGUGAAGGGGUCCGUGAAACGGGCUAGGACCGGGAUGAAGAGGCGACGGAGUGCUCAGAUGCCUUCUGCUUAUCCGGGGCCUGAUCAUCCACAUCCACGAGGGCUCCAUCCCGGAGCCGGCCGAUCUCUACUUGGGACCUGAAAGUGACAAUGACCCUGUUUGUCGACAGAGGACGCUCGUGAGCCCCUUCAGGAUUCAGUACAAGACGGCCCGUCCUGUGGACCCCCAGAACCAAGGCUGUGACGUAACGGUCCCCCGUCUUGGCUGCUGCUAGCGACGCGGCUGGCUGUGCCCGGACGCUGGACACAAAGACUCCAGUGGUCUUCCCUGGUGGUGGUGCCCAGCCACCACGUGGAAACAAAGCUUAAAGCUUGAUUAGUGCGUGCUUGCGUUUCCUUACGUUUCGGCUGCUUUGUAUCUAUAAAUAUGGAGCAAGUUAGCUGCUUAACGGGAAGUAUUCUGAAGUAUGAGCAAGCAGAAAAGUAGUUACAGUCUUAUUACCCAGAUACACCUAUUAACGUUUUGUCCUUUCCUCCUGGGUCUUUGUUACUGUUUUUUAAGCACAGUUGAAAUCACACAGUAGAUACGGUUUUGAAAACUUAAGAAGGCUUAACAUAGCAUAACAAUUUCCUCAUGCAUCAAACAAUUUUGUAAACAAAAUGUAAACACGAUUUUUUAAUGGCAGCAUAAAACUGAAAUAUAAGGAUGAACUACA